rnacentral:rRNA from 1 species
GAUGAACGCUGGCGGCGUGCCUAAUCCAUGCUAGUCGAGCGAACAGACUAGGAGCUUGCUCCACUGAUGCUAGCGACUCUUGGGCGAGUAACACGUGGAUAACCUACCUAUAAGACUUGGAUACCUUCGUGAAACCGCCCCUAAUACCCGAUCAUAUAUUUAACCGCAUGGUUCCUUAGUGACAGACGGUUUUCCGGUCAAUUAUAGAUGGAUCCGCGCCGCAUUAGCUAGUUGGUAAGGUAACGGCUUACCAAGGCAACGAGGCGUAGCCGACCUGAGAGGGUGAUCGGACACACUGGAACUGAGACACUGUGCAGACUCCUACGGGAGGCAGCGAUAGGGAAACUGCCGCAAUAGGCGAAAGCCUGAGGGAGCAACGUCGCGUGAGUGAUGAAGGUCUUCGGAUCGUAAAACUCUGUUAUUAGGGAAGAACAAAUGUGUAAUUAACUAUGCACGUCUUGACGGUACCAAAUCAGAAGGCCACGGCUAAGUACGUC